rnacentral:lncRNA from 1 species
AAUUGAUGGGAGAAAUGAGGAAAAGAAAAUCUUUUUAAAAAUGAUUUCAAGGUUUGUGCUGAGCUCCUUGAUUGCCUUAGGGACAGAAUUACCCCAGCCUCUUGAGCUGAAGUAAUGUGUGGGCCGCAUGCAUAAAGAUGAACAGAGUUUAUGAAGGAGCAUCAUUCUAAGAAUUAAGUGAUGUAGUCUUUAUGUUUGGACAGUUCACCAGAUUCUCAAGAAGGCUUUCAAACAACUAUAAAGUUUGAUGUUUGUCCUGCUGAGCUAAUGGGGAAAGUUAUAGCAUAAAAAUUGUGUAACCGCAUAGAUAUGUCAUUUUUAAAAACUGGUUUAACAGAAAUCAAGCAAAGUCACAAAUAUGUUCACAAGUUGGAAUUAUUUAUUGAGUCAAAAUGUCGAAUCGAACAUUUUGAAUGAAGUAAGUGUUAUAAAUGAAAAAUUGCCUGAUGUUUAGCAGUUUGUAUUCUCUAAAGCUUUUUUUCAAAAGUUCAGGCUUUCUACUUACUGGGAAGUUGGUGGUCCUCUUAGUCCCUGAUAAAUCAAGGCAAUCACAUUCAUGUGAGCUGGAUGAAUUUAUAAGUUAUAAAGACCUUAUCCUUCAUACCUUGAGGAUGAUUGCACUGGUUUUGAAGUCAGUUGCUUAAUGAUGAGGUGAGAAAUGUAUCCUGUUGCUAAAUCUGUCUUAGACCCUUGGUGAAACUUGAAGAUUUCAGUUUAUAAAGAUAAAAUCAAGCAUCUUUUGUGCAGUUUUCUUUUUUUAAUGCAAGAAUGGUGGGGAGGUUUGUUUGUAAGCAUGAAACUUUGAGAAUCUUU